rnacentral:rRNA from 1 species
CUAGGAUUAGAUACCCUAGUAUAUUASUAAAUAUAAGGUAGUAAUUUCUUCUUUUAAAACCUACUUAUAAUGGCGGCAUUAUAUCUUAUUAGAGGAACCUGUUUUURAAUCGAUAAUCCACGUUAAUUUUUACUUUAAUUAAAAAUUUAUAUACCGCCAUCUAAAAUUAUUUUAAUAAAACUUUUCAAAUAAAAAACUAAAAAAUUAGGUCAAGGUGUAGUCUAUAUCAAAGUAAAUAAUGGGUUACAUUAAAAAAAUUUAAGGAUUUUUAUAUUAAAAUAUUCUUCGAAAAGGGAUUUAACAGUAAUAAUUAAAUAAUAAUUUACUAUGAUUAAGAUAAUAAAUGUGUACAUAUCGCCCGUCACCCUUAUCAAAGAUAAGAUAAGUCGUAACAUAGUAAAAUUA